ACACUCCUACGGGAGGCAGCAGUGGGGAAUAUUGGACAAUGGGCGCAAGCCUGAUCCAGCCAUGCCGCGUGAGUGAUGAAGGCCCUAGGGUUGUAAAGCUCUUUCACCGGUGAAGAUAAUGACGGUAACCGGAGAAGAAGCCCCGGCUAACUUCGUGCCAGCAGCCGCGGUAAUACGAAGGGGGCUAGCGUUGUUCGGAUUUACUGGGCGUAAAGCGCACGUAGGCGGACUAUUAAGUCAGGGGUGAAAUCCCGGGGCUCAACCCCGGAACUGCCUUUGAUACUGGUAGUCUUGAGUUCGAGAGAGGUGAGUGGAAUUCCGAGUGUAGAGGUGAAAUUCGUAGAUAUUCGGAGGAACACCAGUGGCGAAGGCGGCUCACUGGCGCGAUACUGACGCUGAGGUGCGAAAGCGUGGGGAGCAAACAGGAUUAGAAACCCGUGUAGUCCC
rnacentral:rRNA from 1 species